CUAAGGAAUUGCUUGCUUGUUGCAAAGUCCCUGACUGUUCCUGCAUACUAGACGCCCAGUUUGGAGCAAUAUCGUUAAAGCUUCGCACCUCUGUUCUCUUAUCUCCGUGCCCACUUACUGAGUUCGGACCAGUGAGGGAAUUUCUCACAAUUUGGGGGCUUGUCCGGGAUACUCUUGCAGGUGGGAGGUGGGGGCCCAAGCGGAGUGGGAAGACACGUCCCGCCCGACUUUGGGCGGCCCGCUCUGUCUGGGUGUUUCACCUGCACACGAAAGAGAAGACCUGAGACUUGUGAGGAGACAGCGUGACCGAGGCAGAGGAGGAAACGCAGGCACUGCUGCAACCAGGCGACCUCGUGCACGAGCCAGGGUGGGAAAAUUGGACUGCUGAAAGGACUCCUCGCCCAGACUCCCCCACUUGAGUUCUUCACCCACUGCUUCCAGCCUGGAGACCUUGUAUUAGUAAAGUCCUGGAAAGAAGACCGACUGCAGCCCAGCUGGGAAGGCCCCUACCAAGUGCUCCUGACCACGGAGACUGCAGUGUGGAUGGUGGAAGAGGGCUGGACUCCCUACACCAGAAUCAAGAAAUUGACUGAGGGAUCUGGGGACAAAACGGAGAACUGGAAGGUGUCCCAAGUGGCUGACCACCUCUUGAGGCUAAAACUGAAAAGGAUCUAAAAUGUUAAUCUUUAUCCUUCUAACUCUAUAUUUUACAGGCAUCUCUCAGGGAAGCCUAGAAUGGGAAGGAACUCCUGGUUAUCCUGUCAAACUGGUGAUCAAUAUUACAAAACCAUCAGGCCCCCAAACCAUCAGGUUUGAUGCUUGUCAGGUUCUCUCUUGUGGUGACGUAAAUAACCAAAGACAGCUUUCUGGAGACAACAAGUAUCUCUGUCCUGAAUGGACGAGUGUUAGCGGACCAAAAAAAGCAAACGGGCCCCCGUGUCCAGGCUGGAGCAAUGUCUGGUGGACUACCCAGUUUCAAGGGUGGACAGCCCCUCAUGCGACAGGGAAACCUUUAAAAGGAAAGCUCCGCUUGGCUAAAGGCAUUCCUCCUGCAAAUUGCCAGGACAAACAAUGUAACCCCCUCUUGUUAACUAUAAAUAACCCUCAAGAUUUAGACUCCGACCCUGUAAUUGCUCCUCGUGUUUAUGGACUUGGUGCAGAUGUUACUGGAAUAGAUCCCUUGGGAAGGUUUGGUCUUAAUUUAAUCCAAGACAAGAUUUCACCCAUAGUGACCACCACCCCCAGUCCUGAGGUAGAUAGUGAACCAGAACCUUCCCUUAAUCACCCUAAACUAGUUACUGUACAGACUGGUUAGAAGGAUGGUUUGGAAAACAGAAAGGUAUGGUUGCCUCUGUUUUAACAUCUCUUGUUAUAGUUGAGGAAUUUCAACUGUAGGAUGCCGUAUCAUUCCUUGGGUGAGAGGCCUGACCCAGAGGCCUAUAAAGGCAGCCGUAAACAAAUACCUAUGACAUGCACCUAAUCUUACAUGUUGGAAGAUAAAUUUGACAAAUUUAUUAGAUAUAGAUAUAUAGAUAUUAGAUAUAUAGAAAUUAUAUAUAGAAAAAUAUAUUAGAAAAAAAAAUAAUAAGUAAAUAUAUAUAUAUAUAUAUAUAUAUAUAUAUUAGAAAAGUUUGAAAAAGAACCAGGCAUGAGUUGAAGUACAUUACUGGGAAUAAAAUCAGAAAUUCUUAAAUAAGAGGGGGAACUGCUAGAAAAAGCAUAAAACCUAAACGUGAUUUAUUCCCACCCACCAGGGGGUUUAAACAUAAGGUAUUGACAAAAAGCCCUUGUGGUGACAUACAUGCCUGGAAGUUGCUCAGGCUCAGAGGGGGAAGGAAUGUGAGAAGGCUGUGCAUAUUUGGGGGCAGGGGGGAAAGUUUUGAAACACCCAAUAAAGUUAAGACAAAUGUAAAGAAAGCCUAAUAUGAUAUAACUUGCUUAGGUGACAUCCAGGUGAGAAUGCGAACCCUGUAGUACUCAGCCAAUGAGGAACCAGGGGAGGGAGUCACAUGCUAAGGAAUAAAUUGUCUGUUGUAACCACGCUAAAUGGGCCUGCUCACCAGACGCCCGAUCCUGCAAGACUGCCAUUAAAUAGGCUCGCUGCACUGUU